GUGCCAGCCGCCGCGGUAAUACCGGCAGCCCGAGUGAUGGCCGAUAUUAUUGGGCCUAAAGCGUCCGUAGCUGGCCGACCAAGUCUCCCGGGAAAUCCACCCGCCCAACUGAUGGGCGUCCGGCGGAAACUGCACGGCUUGGGACCGGAAGGCUCGAGAGGUACGUCCGGGGUAGGAGUGAAAUCCCGUAAUCCCGAGCGGACCACCGAUGGCGAAAGCAUCUCGAGAAAACGGAUCCGACAGUGAGGGACGAAAGCUAGGGUCUCGAACCGGAUUAGAUACCCGUGUAGUCC
rnacentral:rRNA from 1 species